rnacentral:rRNA from 1 species
UACAGAGGUCUCAAGCGUUGUUCGGAUUCAUUGGGCGUAAAGGGCGCGUAGGCGGCCUGCUAAGUCGGAUGUGAAAUCCCUCGGCUCAACCGAGGAACUGCAUCCGAUACUGGCGGGCUUGAAUCCGGGAGAGGGAUGUGGAAUUCCAGGUGUAGCGGUGAAAUGCGUAGAUAUCUGGAGGAACACCGGUGGCGAAGGCGGCAUCCUGGACCGGUAUUGACGCUGAGGCGCGAAAGCUAGGGGAGCAACGGGG